rnacentral:lncRNA from 1 species
GAAAAUACUGCCGGUUCCACCGGGGCCACGGCCACAAUACCGAGCGAUGCAUCCAGCUUAAGGAUGAGAUCGAAGCCCUCAUCCGUCGGGGAUAUCUCGAUAAAUUUUGGAGGAACCCGCCGACUCGACCGGUUGCCGACCAACGACCCCAGCCGACUGAAGAAGCGACCGAUAACCGACCUACGGCCGGGGUCAUCAAUAUGAUCUCCAAGCGACUGGGCCCGGGGACGUCCGCUAGAGG